rnacentral:rRNA from 1 species
CCUACGGGUGGCAGCAGUGAGGAAUAUUGGUCAAUGGGCGAGAGCCUGAACCAGCCAAGUCGCGUGAAGGAUGACGGCCCUACGGGUUGUAAACUUCUUUUGUCAGGGAGCAAUUGAGUCCACGUGUGGGCUUAGCGAGAGUACCUGAAGAAAAAGCAUCGGCUAACUCCGUGCCAGCAGCCGCGGUAAUACGGAGGAUGCGAGCGUUAUCCGGAUUUAUUGGGUUUAAAGGGUGCGUAGGCGGAAUAUCAAGUCAGCGGUAAAAAUUCGGGGCUCAACCCCGUCGUGCCGUUGAAACUGAUGUUCUUGAGUGGGCGAGAAGUAUGCGGAAUGCGUGGUGUAGCGGUGAGAGGCAUAGGUGUCGCGCAGAAGUCCGAUUGCGAAGGCAGCAUACCGGCGCCCAACGGAGGCUGAAGCACGAAAGCGUGGGUAGCGAACAGGAGUAGAUACCCUGGUAGUC